GGGGAUUUUAAUGAAAUUUUGCAAGCUCAUGAGAAAGAAGGGGGACGGCAUCCUCAAUGAUGUAUGUAGGCCUUUAGCAGUGCGCUGAGCAACUGCGGGCUUGAUGAUCUCGGUUAUUCGGGCAACAUUUUCAGCUGGCGUAGAGGUCGAAUACGAGAGCGACUUGACAGAGCUGUUUUGAGUAGCUCUUGGGCUGAUCUGUUUCUAGAAUAUGGUGUUUCAAACGAACCGUUUAAUAAAUCAGAUCACCGGCCGAUCCUAAUUGAUACCGACUUCCAGCAAGGCUUACAACCAAGGGGUCCGCCGAGACCGAGGAAAUUUGAAGCAAGGUGGCUUGCGGAGGAAGAUGUGGAGGUGAUAGUUCAAGCUGCCUGGGAUCGAGCAAAAGCUAGGGGGAUCGAGCCUUACUCACGAGCGACAUGGGAUAUACAUGCAACAUUGCACACUUGGGAUAAAGAGACACUAAAGGGCCCCAGAACCCGGCUUAGGAAACUCUAG
rnacentral:rRNA from 1 species